rnacentral:tRNA from 1 species
CCUUCGAUAGCUCAGUUGGUAGAGCGGUGGACUGUAGACUGAUUGUGGGGUUCGGUGUGACUGCAAAUGCAUCUGAGAAAUAUGCAUUUUCAUCUCUGAUCCCUUUCCAACGAUUAGAAAUCCAUAGGUCACUGGUUCAAAUCCGGUUCGAAGGA